UGGCUUGGAAGCAGCCAUUCAUUUAAAGAGUGCGUAACAGCUCACUAGUCGAGCGGUCCUGCAUGGAUAAUACGCGGGCAUAAGCAUAUAACCGAAGCUAUGGGAUUGUAGAUGAUACAAUCGGUAGGAGAGCAUUCCAUUCAGCGUAGAAGCAGUAUCGUGAGGUAUUGUGGAGCGGAUGGAAAAGCAAAUGUAGGCAUAAGUAACGAUAAUGCGGGUGAGAACCCCGCACGCCGAAAGAUCAAGGAUUCCCCGGCAAUGUCAAUCAUCCGGGGGUAAGUCGGAUCCUAAGGGUAAGCCGAGUGGCGAUCCCGAUGGCAAACAGGUUAAUAUUCCUGUACUGAUCAUAACUGCGAUGCAGCGACGCAGAGGUGACACUGCUGCGUACUGACGGAAUAGUACGUUGAAACCCGUAUUCUUUGAUACCGGUAGUGAAGCACGCCGGUAGAGAUGAAAGGUGAUAGUACCGCAAUGCUUCGGUUGCGCGGAUAACGCAGGUAAGCUGACUGCCAAGAAAACCUGCUAAGCUUCAGGUAAUGAUCAUCCGUACUGUAAACGGACACACGUGAUCAGGUAGAAAAUACUAAGGCGCUCGAGAGAUUCAUGGUUAAGGAACUAGGCAAAAUGGUCCUGUAACUUCGGGAUAAAGGACGCUCUUGUGAAAGAGCCGCAGAUAAUAGGCCCAGGCGACUGUUUACCAAAAACACAUGGCUAUGCUAAUUCGCAAGAAGAUGUAUAUGGCCUGACACCUGCCCGGUGCCGGAAGGUUAAGAGGAGAGCUCAGAGGUAACUCGAAGGUUUGAAUUGAAGCCCCGGUAAACGGCGGCCGUAACUAUAACGGUCCUAAGGUAGCGAAAUUCCUUGUCAGGUAAGUUCUGACCCGCACGAAUGGCGUAAUGAUUUGGGCACUGUCUCAACAGCCCGCCCGGCGAAAUUGUAGUACUGGUGAAGAUGCCAGUUACCCGCAACUAGACGGAAAGACCCCAUGGAGCUUUACUGCAGUUUAAUACUGGGAAUCGGUAAUGCAUGUACAGGAUAGGUGGGAGACUAGGAAGCAUGGUCGUCAGGUCAUGUGGAGUCACCGGUGGGAUACCACUCUUGUAUUGCUGAUUUCCUAACCUGCGGCCGUGAAUCCGGUCGGGGGACACUGUUAGACGGGCAGUUUGACUGGGGCGGUCGCCUCCAAAAGAGUAACGGAGGCGCUCAAAGGUUCGUUCAGCACGGACGGAAAUCGUGCAUUGAGUGUAAACGCAUAAACGAGCCUAACUGCGAGACCGACGGGUCGAGCAGUAACGAAAGUUGGAGUUAGUGAUCCGGUGGUAUGUGAGUGGAAAUGCCAUCGCUCAACGGAUAAAAGUUACCCUGGGGAUAACAGGCUGAUCUCCCCCAAGAGUCCACAUCGACGGGGAGGUU
rnacentral:rRNA from 1 species